GCCUAUUAUGAGUAAUGCGGUUAUGGACAUUUGUGUACAAGUUUUUGUGUGGACAUGUUUUCAUUUCUCUUUUAUUUAUUAAUUAUGAUGAUUUUAAAAACUUUUUUAUAUCUAAUUACUUAGGAUUGGAAUUACAUCUGGUAACUCUACGUUAAACCUGUGGAGAAACUGCCAGACUGUUUUCCAAAGUGGUGGCACUGUAUGAGUGUUCCCACUUCUCCACAUCCUUGUCAACACUUAUCUUUCUUUUUGAUUAAAGCUACCUAGAGAGUGUGAAAUAAUAUAUCACUGUCGUUUUGAUUGGCAUUUCCCUGAUAGCUAAUGAUGUUAAGUAUCUUUUUAGGUAUUAACUAGCCAUUUUUAUCUUCUUU